CGGUUCAGCCAUACACAUGCAGUCGAGCGGUAGCACAGAGAGCUUGCUCUCGGGUGACGAGCGGACGUCGGGUGAGUAAUGUCUGGGAAACUGCCUGAUGGAGGGGGAUAACUACUGGAAACGGUAGCUAAUACCGCAUAACGUCGCAAGACCAAAGUGGGGGACCUUCGGGCCUCAUGCCAUCAGAUGUGCCCAGAUGGGAUUAGCUAGUAGGUGGGGUAACGGCUCACCUAGGCGACGAUCCCUAGCUGGUCUGAGAGGAUGACCAGCCACACUGGAACUGAGACACGGUCCAGACUCCUACGGGAGGCAGCAGUGGGGAAUAUUGCACAAUGGGCGCAAGCCUGAUGCAGCCAUGCCGCGUGUAUGAAGAAGGCCUUCGGGUUGUAAAGUACUUUCAGCGGGGAGGAAGGCGAUAAGGUUAAUAACCUUGUCGAUUGACGUUACCCGCAGAAGAAGCACCGGCUAACUCCGUGCCAGCAGCCGCGGUAAUACGGAGGGUGCAAGCGUUAAUCGGAAUUACUGGGCGUAAAGCGCACGCAGGCGGUCUGUCAAGUCGGAUGUGAUAUCCCCGGGCUCAACCUGGGAACUGCAUUCGAACUGGCAGGCUAGAGUCUUGUAGAGGGCGGUAGAAUUCCAGUGUAGCGGUGAAUGCGUAGAGAUCUGGAGGAUACCGGUGGCGAUGCGUCCCCUGUACAAGACUGACGCUCAGUGCGAAGCGUGUGAGCAAC
rnacentral:rRNA from 1 species